CGACGAAUGAUGGAAACAAUAUAAUGAAUAUUUAUGAAAUUUGCAUUAUGAGAAAUGUUGAAUUAAAAUUGAAUUGAAGUCCGGCAAUAAUAUUAAAUUUUAAAAAUUUUGUAUAACAACUGUAUAGAGCGACUAGAAAGCUAGAAAAAAGAGCAAAGAAAAGCAAUAACUUAACUUAACAAAUGAGAGUUAAUCGAUUAUUAGUAUUAGAACGUAUACUGUAAGGUUGAAACUAUCUACAAUUAGCAAUCGCAGCACACACACACACACACACACACACACACACAUGUACUAUAAACGAAAAGGUAAACCCAAAAAUACAUACAAAAAUAUAUAUAAAGUUUAAAAAUAUACAAUAUACAUAUUAAAUGCUUACACUUUACAUGCAACAACAUUGUUUUUCAUUUAUAAACUUAUUCUCAAUAUGCUUUGCACAUAUAUUUUCUCUCGUUUUUUACGAUUCUGGACUCUGUGUGUAUUUGUUUCUUGUGCAUUUUGUUUAUUUCUUCAACAAUUAUGGUGCUGAGUGAUUUUAGAUGGAAAUACAAAAUAAAGCCAGCCGUAAGAUGAACCCAAAGCAAUUCGAAUAUUGUGAUAGCCCACACACACGCACACCCAAACACACACACACACGAGAUUCAUUAAUUUUGCUCAAAGGAUAUUGGAAAAUAACGAGAAAUCAAAUUCAUAUUGAGAUCCAGACAACUAUACAUAGCAUAACGUGUAUCGAAAAGCAAUAAAACGUAGUGGUAAAAGAUAUACAUAAAUAGAGUAUAAUACUUAGGGAAGUGCAAACCAGGAGGGGGGGAGUGGCAGAGGAAUAUUUUGAGAUUUUUAACUAAUAGUAAAUAGAAUUGCCCCCAGCCCAGCCCAGCCCAGGCAUAUGCAUAAACACAUACAGAAUAUAUUUCCUUCAUUUGGAAAGGCUUUAAUCCAAAAUUUGGUUAUCGAAGUUUGUCCAAUCACGCACACACACACACACACACAUGUUAUGGGUGUUCUCUCCAGGAUCAUGAUGUACUGUUAUACAAAAGGAAAUUGUUAAAGUUGAUACAUUUUUAGCAUAGUAUUUAGCACACACACAAACACAAAAUUGUAAUCGUAAUCGCAAUCGGAACGGGAAUGAGAACGAGAACGAGAACGCAACCUGGAAAUGCAAUUGUUGAAAUGGUUCAGUAUUUGUGGCAUUAGGUUCAUGAUCCAUUGUUUCCAUUAUCUGUUGCUGUUGCUGACAACCCUUCGCCCCCAUUCCCACACCCACACACCUACACCCCGUUCCAUUCCGCUUCUGCCAGUGCCAGUGCCACAGCAACACAAUGUUGUGUUGUCCUUUUUUGUGUCAAUGCAGUUUAACGAGCGCUCGUUAGGCGUACUCGAACAAAGGGGAAAUGUAAUAAAAAGAGGAACAGCUCCAUGAAUGAGAGAGCACGAGAGAAUGGUAAUGGGCAUAAAGAGAGGGGCAGAUGAUGCCAUGCCAACACUGCACGUGGCGUGGCGUGGCCCACAGAGUCCACAACGCAUUCCACACAGAAGAGAAGGGUGGUGCGAGCUAACGUUAGGGUGAUGCAGUGAGCACUUGAUUCGAAAAUUUAAUUUGCCUUCCACGUGAUUUAUUUAUUUUCUAUACCCACUACACGUACACACACACACUCACACACAACAAGCAAUGUAUAAAUAAUUGGGCAACCAAAACAAACAAUGAUUAACUAUUAGCAAAAGCAAAAGCAAAAGCAAAAUUAAUAAGACUUGGCACGUUAACACUAAUAAUUCAAGAAUUGAACAUAAACUAGUAACGAAAUUCGAAAGUAAAAGAAUUGAGAAAUCAAACAACCAAAAGCAGAAACAACGAAUAAACAGCAAAAGAACAAAAAUGAAAGACUUGACACUUUGAAUAUAUAUUAUUGUAGUAUAUAUUAUGAAUCGAAAAUGGAGAGCAAUAUGUGGAGGCAACAAACUUAUUUACAGCUAUUGUAUAUGGUAUAUAAUCAUAGAGAAGAAUUAACGAUAAAAAGCAAUACAACAGAAACAGAAACAGCAACAAAGGCAAAAGCAAAAGCAGAAGCAAAAGCAACAGCAGAAGCAAUAGAGCAUUAAGGUAACUCAAAAGUAUUAAAUCGCAUGUAUCUAUGAGUAAAUAUUUGGAAUUCGUUAUAUUAUUGCGAUAAGUAAGCGAAAACCCCAAACAUUUAUGGCACUAUACACUAUAGCAUAAUAAAGAAUCGAUAUAUAUAUAUAUAUUGAUAUAUACCUAGUUUACAGAGAAAACCGAAUGGAAAACUGCUAGAGAGCAAACCAAAAAAAAAAAAAAAAUGGGAAUAAACAAGUACUAAGAAUUAAUUAAAGGCCGUAGGGAUUUUGGAUUUAGCUGGCAUAUGAUGAAUUGAACGAUUUAACGAUUAUUAGUUAUCGAUAUACAGAUACAUACAUAUACAUAUAUAUUAACGGUAGAGUUGUUUUUGCAUAUAUUGUUAUCGCAACUUUUGUGCUGCUUGACGAGACCAAUUGAUGUACUUUAUACAACGAAAAACGAAAAACGAAAACGAAAACGAAAACCCAAAAAACCGUAAAACUGAAAAACCAAAAAACCAAAUGAAAAGGAAAAGGAAAACUCAUCUUAUGUUUUUGCAUAGGUGCAUUGUUGCGACUACACUACGGAAAUACACACCACACGGCGGAUACGAUACAUAGUCGAAAGAGUUACUGCGUAGAAAAUAAAUCCUGUAUUUUAUCCUGUAUUUAGAGCACAGACACAGACACAGACACAACUGUAGCAUUGUAGAAAAGUAGAGUUGCAAAGAGUAUAAAAAUUAUAAUUAAAACGAGACAAAAGCGAGACAUAAAUUUAAGCUUACGAUUAGACUAUGACUAAAACAAAACAACAACAAACACAGCACACUAGACGAAGCCAGCAAAAGAAUUCUGUACCUAGAACAAGAACAACAGCAGACACGAAACACACACACUCAUAAUUAUGUAUUUUAUUGCAUUGCAUCGAUUAAUAAUCGAAGAAUAUAUACAUUGAAAUAUAAAGCUAUAAAGCUAAACACCCACAGAGACACAGAGACACAGAGAAGAGCAAAAAUGCGUUUAUGAUAUAUGGAAGAAUACAUUCUAAAUUAUAAAUGACAUGCAUUAUGUAUAUGACAUUCAUGUGCAUCAUGCAGACAAACACACACACACACAAUCGAAGGUCCUGGCACUAUGUCAUUUGCCAGGGGCACCUCCGCCCUCGAAAGUCAAUUUUACCAAAUGGUCAAUUUCCAAUUACAAGGCAAGCGAAUCGUUUCAUGUUUUUCAGUAGUUUUUAUGCUAAGUUGUUGAAAAAUUGAGCAGCUAAUUAACCGAACGCAGAGCAACGAGAGAUGAACGAUGCACAAUGGUCGAG